CCUACGGGGGGCAGCAGUGGGGAAUCUUGCCCAAUGGGCGAAAGCCUGAGGCAGCGACGCCGCGUGCGGGAAGAAGGCCCUCGGGUUGUAAACCGCUUUCAGGAGGGACGAAGCUACUCGGGUGAACAGCCCAGAGGGUGACGGUACCUCCAGAAGAAGCCCCGGCUAACUACGUGCCAGCAGCCGCGGUAAUACGUAGGGGGCAAGCGUUGUCCGGAUUUAUUGGGCGUAAAGCGCGUGUAGGCGGCCAGGCAGGUCCGUUGUGAAAACUGGAGGCUCAACUUCCAGACGUCGAUGGAAACCGCUUGGCUAGAGUCCGGAAGAGGAGAGUGGAAUUCCUGGUGUAGCGGUGAAAUGCGCAGAUAUCAGGAAGAACACCGAUGGCGAAGGCAGCUCUCUGGGACGGUACUGACGCUGAGACGCGAAAGCGUGGGGAGCGA
rnacentral:rRNA from 1 species